rnacentral:rRNA from 1 species
GGCAUGCGCAUGCUUACACAUGCAAGUCGAACGGCAGCGGGGGUAGCUUGCUACCUGCCGGCGAGUGGCGAACGGGUGAGUAAUACAUCGGAACGUGCCCUGUAGUGGGGGAUAACUAGUCGAAAGACUAGCUAAUACCGCAUACGACCUGAGGGUGAAAGUGGGGGACCGCAAGGCCUCAUGCUAUAGGAGCGGCCGAUGUCUGAUUAGCUAGUUGGUGGGGUAAAGGCCCACCAAGGCGACGAUCAGUAGCUGGUCUGAGAGGACGAUCAGCCACACUGGGACUGAGACACGGCCCAGACUCCUACGGGAGGCAGCAGUGGGGAAUUUUGGACAAUGGGGGCAACCCUGAUCCAGCAAUGCCGCGUGUGUGAAGAAGGCCUUCGGGUUGUAAAGCACUUUUGUCCGGAAAGAAAUCGCACUGGUUAAUACCUGGUGUGGAUGACGGUACCGGAAGAAUAAGGACCGGCUAACUACGUGCCAGCAGCCGCGGUAAUACGUAGGGUCCAAGCGUUAAUCGGAAUUACUGGGCGUAAAGCGUGCGCAGGCGGUUGUGCAAGACCGAUGUGAAAUCCCCGGGCUUAACCUGGGAAUUGCAUUGGUGACUGCACGGCUAGAGUGUGUCAGAGGGAGGUAGAAUUCCACGUGUAGCAGUGAAAUGCGUAGAGAUGUGGAGGAAUACCGAUGGCGAAGGCAGCCUCCUGGGAUAACACUGACGCUCAUGCACGAAAGCGUGGGGAGCAAACAGGAUUAGAUACCCUGGUAGUCCACGCCCUAAACGAUGUCAACUAGUUGUUGGGGAUUCAUUUCCUUAGUAACGUAGCUAACGCGUGAAGUUGACCGCCUGGGGAGUACGGUCGCAAGAUUAAAACUCAAAGGGAAUUGACGGGGACCCGCACAAGCGGUGGGAUGAUGUGGAUUAAUUCGAUGCAACGCGAAAACCUUACCUACCCUUGACAUGCCACUACGAAGCAGAGAUGCAUUAGGUGCUCGAAGAGAAAGUGGACACAGGUGCUGCAUGCUGUCGUCAGCCUCGUGUCGUGAGGAUGUUGGGUAGUCCCGCACGAGCGCACCCCUGUCUCUAGUUGCUACGAACGGUCACAU